ACGGCCUGAGCCCGGCACGGCCUGAGCCCGGCACGGCCUGAGCCCGGCACGGCCUGAGCCCGGCACGGCCCGACCGCUGCCGAGAGCGAGGGGGCAAUUCCCGGCCGGGGGCCUCGGAACUCGGCGGGGCAAAAUGCUGACAGCCAGCCGUGCCUCGGCAUAGAGCGCCUCGCAUCCCUCCCCUUCUCCUGCACCCCGGCUGCUGCUCGGCAAAACCGCUUUGCGGAUGAAGCCGAGAGCUAUCGCCAGCCAAACGGGCAAUGUUUCUGUCAUCCACAAUCGGGAAUCCCCCUGUACCUUACAGAAAGGAAAAGCUAACAACUAAUCCUAGCUAUCGGUGCAAAUGGAAUGAAAUCCCACAACUACACCUCCGACACUGAGCAACUUGCUUGCUUUAUAAAACCCGAUGUCACAAGCAACCGUGGCACCUAAAUAGGAGCCUGAGCAGCUCUCUGGAAGCCCUGACACUCUGCUCUUCCUGGCUGAGGAGCUACACUGGUUUCAAGCCACAUGAUGUUAUUAGUGUCUGGCUUAGUUAACUCCUACAAUCAGAAAAAUUCUCAGAAAUACAACAGUUUUCAAUCUCUGAAGAUAAUGUAACUCACUGAACAGUAUUUUUCCCCUCUAUAAUAUUAACAGAACAGCAAUCUUGCUGCUCACUCAAACCUGGCUUGAAAAAAGACAUGUUUUUUAAUUGCUAUCCUUCUCUGAGUGCUCUAAAUUUAGUAGUUGUUGCUCUAAAUUUAGUUGAACAUAAAUGCAUGCAUGUCAAUAUUCAAAAUGUUUUGGGCAGUGAAUAACCACUUACAAGUUAACAACACAAAAACUUAAAAAUGCAUUUGCCUGGAACAUUUAAUUUUUACAGUAAGAGGACAAAUUCAGAUUAAGUUGCAUUCCAGAAAGAAGCCAAACAAUUCACCGGCACUUUUUUCUGUGACUGUUUUUACUUUAGGCCCUGAUAAGAACACAUUAAAAAAGAUAAACCUCAAAACAAAUAAUUUCAGAAUGUACCAUACAAAACCAAAGGAAAAGAGACAAACUAGAGGAAGGGUUGUUUGGGUUUUUUUGAAUCAUUAUUACUUAAAAGACUGUUAUUAAAUUACAGUUAUCUAGGAAAUUAAAUUACUGCUGAGUAUCCGUUGACAUGGCAGCCUUAUCCUAACAAAAACAUUGCAGAAACCAGUAUUUUAGAAACUGGAAAAUUAAAAAAAUACAGAUUUGUACAACAAAAUUAAGUAUCAAUUUUUUCUUCUGACUUUUCAUAUUAUAAUUAAAGUUCUCUGCACUAAAGGAACUUUUUCCCACAAUACAUUCUGACUUCUUAUGAAGGUAAACUCAAAAUAAAGACUUACACUUACAUAAUGAUCUACCCCAAAUUAAAUGUCUCAUGAUGCUCAGUGAAAUUUAAUUUUGUGUCAUCUUCCACAUAUGCAGUAUCUAAUACAAUUUUUUGGAUUUUUUGGUAAUGUGUCAUUUUAUUUCAAGGCUCUUUUCAGCAGUGAAAGCAUUGAAAUACAGAGAAACAGUGCUUAAAACCUGCAGCAUCACAAUCAUUGAUUAUUCACAGUAACUGCACUUAAUUGCACAGAUUGGUAAGAUGUUAAUACAAAUAAAAUCUAUCAGCAUUUUAUUGUCUCCAUUCUUAUAGAAGAUGAAUUAAAUGAAAACCAUUUGAAAAAUACUGCUUGUUAAAAUUAAACUGUGGUAAGAGAAAUGAAAGGAAUCUUUCAUUCUCCAAAAUUAUCUCUUUACCUGGCUGAUGCUACUAAAUAUUAAACAUGUAGCAUAAGCUUUAUUACUGCCUAGAAUUACUGUAAUAAAUGUCAGGAAAAUUGUA